GGCAGGCAAGCGCCGGAGCUACCCCGAGUUGCCUUAGGGCAGCAGCAUCCUAGCGAUGUGCAUCAGGGGUCCGGGGGCCUGUCACCUU
ncrna:Mesorhizobium sp. LNJC405B00 DTF3800-VII RNA